rnacentral:tRNA from 1 species
AUUCAUUUAGUUUUAUAUAAAACAUUUUAUUUUCAUUAAAAAAAAGAAUAAAAAAUCAAUGAAUU